CACAGAUUGCUUACCUGCACUAUAUCUUUGUAUUUUAAUUUCACAGCAUCAUCUUCUUUGAAAUUACUAUGUGAAAGAAGCUCCAGUGAUUCAAAGAAGUUCCCCUGAAAAGAGAGAGUUCUUCCAGUCAUGACAUGGUCAAAUAAUGAAGUUUACUCUGUUCCACUUUUAGAAAGCAGGAAUAUAGAGGUACUGGAUGAAUGCUUUUGAGAUGCUGAGAUAUUACAGUGGCCCCUGGACUAGGAAGUGAGAGAGAAUAUGGAGUCAUCCAGCACAGCAAUC
rnacentral:lncRNA from 1 species